AAAUUCUAAACGGAAGCCAAAGUAUGAACCCAAGUAUAGCUGGAUGACCAAGGAGCCCUCUUCCAUCUGACUGAAUCUCAUCCAAUUUUGAGGGGAGGAGCCUGCAUGGAGAGCAAACUCUGGGGUAAAAUUACAUGAUCUCACUGCCUGAAGGAUACCAGGCUUAGGUGCAGAGUCACAAAAGUGAAACUGUGCACCUACUACCCGCCAGGAAAUGAACCAGGCCAUGAGAACACAAAACAGGCAGACACAGACGGCCCUUGAGUUCACGGAAAGCAGAUUCUCAUGCAGAUCACAUUAACCUCACAGGGCAAACAAGAGAUUAAAGUGCUGGGAAUAGGGAUACCAGAUAUUUCCAAAAAUGAAAUGGGAGGGCCAAAUCUGCUCUUUAAGAUAUAAAAAAU
rnacentral:lncRNA from 1 species